GGAAAUACAUCGUCGAAUUCCUGCAACAAAGACUUAGCCAAACUAGGGAAGGGUGGGUUAGUUUCCUCAAAAUUGAGGAGUGAUUCCUUAUAAACGAACUAGAUCAUCUCUUUUCUCUCAACUACUGCCCUCCUCAAAUUACUUUCUUUUGCAAAGAAAUUCGCUCGUGUUUUCUCUCUUCUCUCGUAACACUCCCUUUCUUUUUUUUCUUGUGCUUGCUCUCUUUUUUUCUCUCUAGUGGCUAUCUCAACAUUUUCUCUCUUCUUCUCUAACUCACCACUUUCUCUCUUUUUUUCUAACUCUUUGACUCUCC
rnacentral:lncRNA from 1 species